rnacentral:rRNA from 1 species
CAUGUCCUUUUGAUAUUUAUUUAAGGUCUGGCCUGCCCGUUGAUUUAUUAAAUGGCUGCAGUAUUUUGACUGUACUAAGGUAGCAUAAUAAUUAGUUUUUUAAUUGAGAACCAGAAUGAAUGGCUGGACGAGAGAGUGACUGUCUCUAUUUAAUUUUUAUUAGAAUUUAAUUUUUAAGUUAAAAAGCUUAAAUGUUUAUGAAAGACGAGAAGACCCUAUAGAGUUUUACAUUAGUUUAAGUAAUAUUAUUUGGUAAUAUAGUUGUGUUGUUUUUAAAAUGUUUUGUUGGGGUGACAGUAAGAUUUAUUAAACUCUUAUUAUUUUUUUUCAUUUAUUUAUGUUUAUUUGAUCUAUUUUUUUUUAAUUGUAAGAAUAAAUUACCUUAGGGAUAACAGCGUAAUCUUUCUAGAGAGUUCUUAUCGAUAGGAUGGGUUGCGACCUCGAUGUUGGAUUAAAGUUAAUUUUUGGCGUAAAGGUUAAAAAAUUAAGUCUGUUCGACUUUUAAAACUUUACAUGAUCUGAGU